UAUUGAUUGCGAAUUGUUGCCUUCUGUGCUGGCCAGCUCUGGCAAGUGCACGUCGGUGACUUUCAUCCAAUACCCUGUGCACCUUUGGCCUUUGCUAGCCUCGGCUGGCAGAGGAAUUUUUACACACACUCGAAUGUAAUGAAAUUUAUUGUCGUGCGCAAGCACUAAUGUACAACUUUCAACAACGGAUCUCUUGGCUCUCGCAUCGAUGAAGAACGCAGCGAAAUGCGAUAAGUAAUGUGAAUUGCAGAAUUCAGUGAAUCAUCGAAUCUUUGAACGCACCUUGCGCCCCUUGGCUAUUCCGAAGGGCAUGCCUGUUUGAGUAUCAUGAACACCUCAACUCCCGUGGUUUGCCAUGGUGAGCUUGGACUUUGGAGGUUUUGCUGGCCCAUGGUCAGCUCCUCUCAAAUGAAUUAGCCUGCCAGUGUUUGGUGGCAUCACAGGUGUGAUAAAUAUCUACGCUUGCGAUUGCCCACCAGGUAACCUUCAGCAAUGGGGGUUCGCUGGGGCUCAUAGACGUCUCUCCCUCGGCGAGGACAGUUUUUUUAACGUUCG
rnacentral:misc_RNA from 1 species